rnacentral:rRNA from 1 species
UACGUAGGUGGCAAGCGUUGUCCGGAAUUAUUGGGCGUAAAGCGCGCGCAGGCGGUUCUUUAAGUCUGAUGUGAAAGCCCACGGCUCAACCGUGGAGGGUCAUUGGAAACUGGGGAACUUGAGUACAGAAGAGGAAAGCGGAAUUCCACGUGUAGCGGUGAAAUGCGUAGAGAUGUGGAGGAACACCAGUGGCGAAAGCGGCUCACUGGACCAUAACUGACGCUGAGGCACGAAAGCUAGGGGAGCAAACGGG